rnacentral:rRNA from 1 species
UGCAAGUCGAACGGUGAAGCAGAGCUUGCUCUGUGGAUCAGUGGCGAACGGGUGAGUAACACGUGAGCAAUCUGCCCCUGACUCUGGGAUAAGCGCUGGAAACGGCGUCUAAUACCGGAUACGAGCUGCGAAGGCAUCUUCAGCAGUUGGAAAGAAUUUCGGUCAGGGAUGAGCUCGCGGCCUAUCAGCUUGUUGGUGAGGUAAUGGCUCACCAAGGCGUCGACGGGUAGCCGGCCUGAGAGGGUGACCGGCCACACUGGGACUGAGACACGGCCCAGACUCCUACGGGAGGCAGCAGUGGGGAAUAUUGCACAAUGGGCGCAAGCCUGAUGCAGCAACGCCGCGUGAGGGAUGACGGCCUUCGGGUUGUAAACCUCUUUUAGCAAGGAAGAAGCGAAAGUGACGGUACUUGCAGAAAAAGCGCCGGCUAACUACGUGCCAGCAGCCGCGGUAAUACGUAGGGCGCAAGCGUUAUCCGGAAUUAUUGGGCGUAAAGAGCUCGUAGGCGGUUUGUCGCGUCUGCUGUGAAAACUGGAGGCUCAACCUCCAGCCUGCAGUGGGUACGGGCAGACUAGAGUGCGGUAGGGGAGAUUGGAAUUCCUGGUGUAGCGGUGGAAUGCGCAGAUAUCAGGAGGAACACCGAUGGCGAAGGCAGAUCUCUGGGCCGUAACUGACGCUGAGGAGCGAAAGGGUGGGGAGCAAACAGGCUUAGAUACCCUGGUAGUCCACCCCGUAAACGUUGGGAACUAGUUGUGGGGUCCAUUCCACGGAUUCCGUGACGCAGCUAACGCAUUAAGUUCCC